GUCUGAAUCUUAAUCAUUCAGAUUCAGCACAUUAAGUGCAUUUAGUUUUAAGGUCUGAAUUUUAAUUAUUCAGAUUCCGCCCAUUAAGUGCAUUUGUUUUGUUUCCUUAUGAACCUCUUAAUGGAUCUGAAUAGAUCUGAACAAAUCAGAUCUAUAAAAGAGUCUUAUUCCAUUCAGACUCAUUAAAUAAUACACGCUAUUAACAAAACACGCCUUUGCUUCUUUCUCUUGCAAAAUUUCCACGCCUCCCUCUCUGUUUCUUCAACCAAAAUGCCAUUUUUUUCUCUCUUGAACUGAGUGUUUCAGGUGAUUGAUUGCAACAUGUUCGGAGAUGCGCGGUGCCUAAUCUGAAGGCCUUCUCCCACUUCACUCCGGGACGGAGGUUGGGUCUUAUAGUGUUAUUGUAAUCCGUAUCUUUUAGUCGCUUUUGUACUAGUCUAGACCAUGUCGUGGGAACUUGAAAAGAGUCUUUAUUUAUUUAACGGUUGUAAAUACUUUGAAUAUUGGAGUUUAUUAGGUAAUUGAUUUAUGCUGUUAAUUGUA